AACGCACAUUGCGCCCCUUGGUAUUCCGAUGGGCAUGCCUGUUCGAGCGUCAUUAUCCUCCCUCAAACCUCGUGUUUGGUGUUGGGCCGCGUUGGUCGAGCGACCAACUGGUCUCAAAGAUAAUGACGGCGUCCGUGGGACCCUCGGUGCAACGAGCUUUUAACGAGCACGCGUCGAGUUUCAAGGACCCUCCGGGCCGGUCUAGACCUCUAUCUUCUCAGGUUGACCUCGGAUCAGGUAGGAAUACCCGCUGAACUUAA
rnacentral:misc_RNA from 1 species